CAAAGACAGCUGUCACAAAAUAUCUCUUCACAUGAUGGUAUGUUAAAUAGUAGAACAGAUAGAACUCAUGAUGAGAAGAAGCAUUUGGUAGCUGACAUGCAAUAUGACUCAUUCAGCGAACAUUUUAGAUCUACAAAGAAGAGAAAAACAUCCUGUGAACUAGGCCUGCAGCUUUUAAACAGUGAUAGUGUGGCAAAGACAAAGUUCGACAGUGCUGGUGUCAAGUCUGAUGUCUGGGCACAUCCAUCUACGAACGUUUAUAGCCUUCCAGAAACUGCCCGGGAUUACAAGGAUGGGGAAGACAAUGAUCUGGGGCAUAUUGAUGAACUUCUCAAUGGUGGUUAUAUGAAGCUUCUCAAUUUGGAUAAUGAUACAGAUGAAGAGUCUUAUCGUCUAGCCAUUGAAAUGCCUUUAUCGCCUACACUUCCUGAGAUUCACUACCACAACAGUGUGGAACUUGUCCCGAUUAACACACCUUUAUAUGAGGGAUUCUCAAAUGCAAGGGGGACUGUGG
rnacentral:misc_RNA from 1 species